ensembl:snRNA U6 U6 spliceosomal RNA
GUCCUCACUUUGGCAGUACAUAUACUAAAACUGGACCGAUAGGGAGAAGAUUAGCAUAGCCCCAGGCAAGGAUGACAUGCAAAUUCGUGAAGCAUUCCAUAUUAAA